GUGAGUGUAGCUCAGCUGGUUUAGAGCAUCAGACUGUGGCUCUGAGGGUCGCGGGUUCGAAUCCCGUCACUCACCCCA
rnacentral:tRNA from 1 species